GACGAACGCUGGCGGCGUGCUUAAUACAUGCAAGUCGAGCGAGGUUACUGUUUUGGAUCCCUUCGGGGUGAAGAAGCUUUAACCUAGCGGCGGACGGGUGAGUAACGCGUGGGUAACCUACCCCAAAGUCCGGGAUAACAGCGGGAAACCGCUGCUAAUACCGGAUGCCUUUACCUUGGGGCAUCUUGAGGUAAAGAAAGGUAACGCUUUGGGAUGGGCCCGCGUCCCAUUAGCUAGUUGGUGAGGUAACGGCUCACCAAGGCGACGAUGGGUAGCCGGCCUGAGAGGGGUGGACGGCCAACGACUGGGACUGAGACACGGCCCAGACUCCUACGGGAGGCAGCAGUAGGGAAUAUUGCGCAAUGGACGGAAGUCUGACGCAGCGACGCCGCGUGAGCGAUGAAGGUCUUCGGAUCGUAAAGCUCUGUCCUUGGGGAAGAAGGCGAAAGCUUGACGGUACCCAAGAAGAAAGCCCCGGCUAACUACGUG
rnacentral:rRNA from 1 species